UACAGAGGGUGCAAGCGUUGUUCGGAAUUAUUGGGCGUAAAGCGCGUGUAGGCGGCCGUGCAAGUCGGGUGUGAAAGCCCUCGGCUCAACCGAGGAAGUGCGCCCGAAACUGCAUGGCUUGAGUACCGGAGAGGGUGGCGGAAUUCCCCAAGUAGAGGUGAAAUUCGUAGAUAUCGGGAGGAACACCAGUAGCGAAGGCGGCACUCUGGGCCGUGACUGGACGCUGAGGAGCAAAAGCGUGGGUAGCAAACAGG
rnacentral:rRNA from 1 species